ACCCUCUUCUUGGCUGAAUUAAGUCCUUCAAGACAUGUGGCCAUUCAACUCUAUACACUCUACAGAGUAGGAUAAUAUUAUGGCCGUUUCUUUGAGUAAUCGUAUGAAUUUGUAAACUGUAGGCACUGAUCCAAUAGUGGGGCAUGCCCAGCACUAAUAAAAUAAGGUAGAAGGUAUUAGAAUCAGGAAGCAUCACAUGCAGGAUGAGCAAGUUUGUUUCAUGAACCUUCUAUUUCAGUUGCAUGGGUGAGUGUGUGUGUGUGUGUGUGUGUGUGUGUGUGUGUGUGUGUGUAUCCAGGGUGUGUCAGAGGUGGCUGACUGGCUGCCAGAUCUCUGCUCCCCUCUCGGAGAAUACGUGUGUCCCGAGGGAGGGGGUGGGCUCCUGGAGUGACCAUCUCCAGACCCUUGCUCUAGGCAGGGCCCCUGGGUGACUUGCCCUCACUAAUGGAAUGUGAUUGAAAGUGACAUUUUACUUCUGGGUCAGGGUGGCUGGGUUCCUGAAUCACUUUGUGGAUUCAGGAUUCACCCACAAAGCAGGAAACAGUGCACUGAAAUUAUGUGAGUGAGAAAUGAACUUUUCUCGUGUUAAGCCACUGACAUCUUGGGAUGUGAGUUACAGCACUUGAGGUUGUCCUAUGUAGUACGUGUAAAAUGUUUGUCUUAAUGUGGGUUAUGGUCAGAAAAGUUUGAAAAAACGACCUGAUCUAAUGUAACCCUUUCAUUUUCCGAUGGAGAAGCCAAGUGUCAGGAACUGGGAGGGGCUCCCCAUGUCUUCUGAAUGAGCUGGGACCAAACCCUGCCUAAGCAGGAGGAUGAUUGCUGUGUGGCCUGGGUGGGCUUUGUGUACUGCUGGACAGGGCAGAGCUGACUGCUGGGCUGCUGACUCCUGGGACAGUGCUCCUCCCACAUGCUCAGAGGCACGGAUCUGACAUUUACACUGUGCUUUGGGGCCUCUGCCCACAGCCGGGGACAGGAAGGGUGAACUCUGCCUGGCCUGCUGAACUAACUCUCACCUGGCUUCUGCUCAGGCUCUGUGGUUAACAUCUCUGCGGCAUACCAACAGACUUUCUCUGAAAAUCUAAGUUUCUCUGAAUCUCUGAGGUGGCAGGAUUCUGAGAAACCUGGCAGCGGCCUGGUCACCGCCAUGAGAGCACUAGCUGAUUUAUACGCACAUACGCCCAGGAACGACACCUCCAUUUUUAACACACAGUGAAUUCGGGCCCUGGUGCUGAUGCUGACACCGGCGGGUAGGAGCCUUCAGCCAUCACGUUCAUGCAUCCCACAGACUGGCAGAGCCUGUCACCCAGGUGCUGAGUCCACCCUGGAUCAGCGGGGGAGGGCACAAGGCUUGUGCCUUCCCCAUCACCUAGCCCCGUGACGUUAUUGUAAGAGUUAAUCAUGCAAGUGCUCAGUACCUGGGCACAGUACCUGACACUUCGCUGACCUGAUUGUAUUUGCAGCACCCCUGUCAUGUGGACAAGCUUGGCAUUCUCCCCAUCAUAUUACAGAUAAGGAAAUGGAGGCUCUCAGAGCUCACCUGUCAGACUCAAAGAACCUUCUUCACUGGCUGGACAUGGGCUGGAGCCCUGGCAUCUUGAGUAAGGACAAAGUACGACAGGCAGGGCCCAGGGCAUUGGGGUCCAGUGGCACUAAAAUCUCCUCUGAAUGGGGGUUGGUUGGGAGUGAUACUGGCCUCCCUCUCCCCCCAGUCUGUCAGAACUGGCCCCGGCUCUUUCCCCACGGGUAAUGUUUGUGGGAAUGAGAGCAAAGAGGCUUGGGAAAAAUCUAGGACAGGCUGGGUCUCAUAAUCUGGGGAAAGUAAAGGGUGUCCCGGCCUCCUAACUCCUGCAUUCUGGGGCUCCCAGGGUCAUCUGCUCACCUCCUCCCCUUCCAUACACUGCUCCUGCGUCUUCAGCCAUACCCAGUGGUCCAAGUGCAGUUACGGCAAGGGAAGUGUGGUCCAGCUGUGUCCCUGCCCCGGGGGAAAAGGAACUGGCCAUCCUGAAGAGUCUCUGCCACGUCAUCCUCAUCUGAAAUUAUCUCCUUCAUUUGUUCACAGAAGCAAUGCAUUGAAUAAGAAGGCUUUGCCUGUCUCCCGCGCUGGACCCCGAGCUCCCUGAAGACAGGGGUCUUGUCUAUCUUGUUCACUGUGCGUCUCCAGCUCCUAGAACACAUGUCAACUGGGACCGAAGGAUCCGCUUCCAAGACGGCUCACUCUAAGUCGGCCGCUGGCUGUUGGUUUCACACAGGCCUCUCCGCAGGGCUGCUUGGGUUUUCUUGCCGCGUGAUGACUGGGUUCUAAGAACACUCGCUCUUGGAACUGAGGCACCAUGCUGCAAGGAAGCCCAGGCCACGUGAAGAGGCCACUUUGGGGAUCCCAGCAGAUAGCCCAUGAUCCUGGCAUCAACUGUCAGGCGUCUAAGUGAGCCAAUUCAGAGGACCCCGGCCCCCAGCCUUCGAGUCUUCCAUCAGAGGCACCAGUGACAAACCAUCCUCACCAUGUUCUGUCUGCAUUCCGGACCCACACGACCCAUGGGCAUGAUAAAUGGUUACUUAAUGCCAACUUUUGAGUGAUUUGUUGGGUAGCCAUAGUAACUGGCACAGUGGGCAAAGUGAAAUAUAACAAUGAGACCUCCAGAAAGCAGUUCCACCGGCAGGAGGAGUCUGGUGGAAACUCACCAGAACAGUCCGGCCAUUGAAGCUGGCUUCCACCAGAAAAACAACGCAGAAUCCACUCAACAAGACAUCAACGACAACCAACAGCAGGAAGCUGACAAGAAGCAGUUAUGUAGGUCU